UACGAAGGGGGCUAGCGUUGUUCGGAAUUACUGGGCGUAAAGCGCACGUAGGCGGACAUUUAAGUUAGGGGUGAAAUCCCGGGGCUCAACCCCGGAACUGCCUUUGAUACUGGGUGUCUCGAGUCCGGAAGAGGUGAGUGGAAUUCCGAGUGUAGAGGUGAAAUUCGUAGAUAUUCGGAGGAACACCAGUGGCGAAGGCGGCUCACUGGUCCGGUACUGACGCUGAGGUGCGAAAGCGUGGGGAGCAAACAGG
rnacentral:rRNA from 1 species